rnacentral:misc_RNA from 1 species
UGCUGGGUUUUCUCCGGAGUUGCUUCCAGUUGCGCCGGCGGUGAUUAGGAAGAAGAGGUUACAAGAGAACAACAAUAACAACAACACCAUGACGGUUGGUGCUGGAAUCACUUUAUCCGAUGCUAAUUUGACAGUGUUGGGAAAUCGGGUUUUGUCCGAUGUUCAUAAUAACAUCACGCUCACGGCGGCGCCGGGCGGUGGCGUAAUGAACGGCGCCUUCAUCGGAGUUCAAUCUGAUCAGAUCGGUUCCCGACGAGUUUUUCCUGUUGG